UACGUAUGGGGCGAGCGUUGUCCGGAAUCAUUGGGCGUAAAGGGCACGUAGGCGGUCUAGCAAGUUAGAAGUGAAAGGCGUUAGCUCAACUAAUGUAAGCUGUUAAAACUGGUAGACUUGAGAGAUUGAGGGGAAAGUGGAAUUCCUGGUGUAGCGGUGAAAUGCACAGAUAUUAGGAGGAAUACCAGUGGCGAAGGCAACUUUCUGGGACGCAACAGACGCUGAGGUACGAAAGCGUGGGUAGCAAACAGG
rnacentral:rRNA from 1 species